CUGCAGGCAAAACAGCAGGGGAGCUUGGCCAGAGAGAGACAGACCCGAGUGACAGAGAGAGCCUGGUCUCCGGACAUGAACACGGAGGGAAAUCGAGUCAGUCUGCAGCUGUUUUCAAUGUAGUCAAUUCUGUUAUAGGAUCUGGGAUAAUAGGAUUGCCCUAUUCAAUGAAGCAAGCCGGAUUUCCCUUGGGAAUACUGCUUUUAUUCUGGGUCUCAUACAUCACAGACUUUUCCCUAGUUUUAUUGAUAAAAGGCGGAGCCCUCUCUGGAACAGACUCCUACCAGUCUUUGGUUAACAAGACCUUUGGCUUUCCAGGGUACUUGCUGCUCUCUACCCUACAGUUUAUGUACCCUUUUAUAGCUAUGAUAAGUUACAACAUAAUAACUGGAGAUACUUUGAGCAAAGUUUUUCAAAGACUCCCGGGAGUUGAUCCUGGAAGUUGGUUUAUUAGUCGACAUUUCAUUAUUGUGGUUUCAACGGUUACAUGUACUCUGCCUUUGUCGCUGUACCGUGAUAUAGCAAAGCUUGGAAAGAUCUCCUUCAUCUCUACGAUUUUAACAGCUGUGAUUCUUGGAGUGGUAGUGACAAGAACCAUUUCCUUGGGGCCAAACAUGUGCUUCCAGUCCACUGCAAAGACUAUUUCCAUCUGGCUUUGUGGAGGAUCUAUAAGGAUUCCUACCCCAGGAUCUGUGUUGCUUGUAAUCUGGUCCUAGCUGUGCACCCUUGGAGCUAAGAAUGGGUUCCCACCAAGUAUGCAUCCAGACCGAAUAGAAAAACGAGUGUC
rnacentral:lncRNA from 1 species